ensembl:lncRNA
UUAAAGAGCGUCCACACAACUUCUCAAAAAGUCAUGAUGUGUCUGACAAAGUGGAAGCUUCUCGUAAAGUAACAGAGCUUGAGAAUGAACUGAACAUUUUUAGCAGGUGUGCUUCCUGACCAAAGAAGUCAGAUGAGUGCAUGAGCAGCCCCUUCAAGGACAAGGCUUGGAUUCCCAGGAGCAGACAAGGAACUCUCUGGGCAUACUCCAAGGAAUCUGGACCUCCUCUGUCACAGGACAUCCACUGUUUAAGCACCACACUACCUCAGGAAGUCCACUGUCUGUGUGUCAACUCCACUGCAACAGGACCACAAGUGUCUCAGCACUUCAACUAUCACAGCACUUCUACUGUUCAGGAGCUCAAGAGUCUCAGCAUCUCAAGUGUCACAGGACCUCCUUUGUCCAAGAACUGGACUGUCCAAGCAACACUACUAUUGCGGGACCUCCACUGUCACAGGACUUCCACUGUAGGAGCACUACAACUGUCUCAGGACACCCACUGUCCUAUAAGCUCCACUAUCUCAGGAAUUCCACUGUCGUAGCACCACCCGUAGCAACUAAAGUGUUUCAGGACAUCAACUGAAGCAAGAUCUGCCAUGAUUCUGCAACUUCACUGCCACAGGAUCUCUACAGUGACAGGAAUACCCCUGUAUCAUCAAUUCCAAUUUUGCAGGACCUCCACUGUAGCAGAACCUUCAAUUGUGCAGCAGCUCCCCUGUAGGGAGAUUGACCUCCAUGAUCUCAGUGCAUCGAUUUUCAAAGGACCUUCACUGUCACAGAACCGGCGCUAUUUCAGUGCCUCCACUGUCGCAGGACCUACCUCUUCACAGGAUCUGCACUGUUGCAACAACUGAAAUUUCAAUUUUUCAAAGUCAUUGCUGUUUAUAUUUGAGGCUGAAUGAAAUGUGAUGCUACUUUUGAAAGCAUAAAAAUUUGUUCUAUAGCUCUUGUGAUAAAUGCCGUGUGUGCUUGGACCAGUAAACUAUGGAAGACUUCAUGAGCUCAUACCACUCUCCACCUCACUUUGUGGAAGCUGGUGUUUUUAGAGUGUGAUAAACUUCAGGUGAAUGGAUGCAUUCAGCUGCACCACGCUCUAGAGUGGGCUACACAGCAGUCAUAUUGAGUCCUUGCUGGGAAGAGAAGAAAUCCAGAGGAGGGAGAAGGCUUGGGUUGGGGGAAGUAUCAUAAAAUACUUAGAAGAUAUAAGAAGGUAAGAAUUAUGGGGAACUGGAAAACAGAGCCAGAGGAAGAAUGAGCACAGAGCAAACUGGGAAGGACAAAGUACAAAGGCACUUGGGUUUUGCCAUCUGCGUGUUCUCUGGACAAUCUCCCUUGGCCUCAUUUCUGGGAGAAAACUCUUCCUCCACCCCCUUGUAAUGUUUCAUUCUUGAAGGAAAGCAGCAACACAACUUCAUCAGUGAAUUUCGCCAUUGGAAUUGGUUCAUCCUUUAAUGCCUCUGGGAAAUCCCCAGCUGGGGAAUGUCCUGCUCUCUGCUGAGAGACAGCAGGAAAGUAGGUUGUCCUCUGUUUUCUCGUUGCUACAGCUCUUCUAAGUGUGGCUGAUUGUUGAGUGAAGACACAGGACACUUCUGGUGUGUAUGUAUGCUUUGUUCGCUGUGGGUGUUGUCGGUAGUGUCCUGAAAAGAAGAAGGGCAUGCCCAAUGGCUCUUUGCUUCCUCUUUGACUAGCCUUAUGAUCAUAGGGAGACACUAGGCCAUUGGAAGAUGAGGAGAACAAUGUGUCUAUGUUGUGUUCACUUCUAUUCCUAUUUAGUCCUAGAGGGAAAUCAGCAAGGGUAGAGAAGGGGACCAUAACUGGACAAAGCUGCUGAGCCUGUGUUGUGCAGCAAUUCCUGUGUAUAACUUGAUGUUACAUUAAGCAAUAGGAUGCCAUGUUCUGUUUAUACCUUUUUGAUGCAAUGAAUCUAUAAUAUUUUACCUCAAACCUCAAUAUAUUACGUUUCUUCCUCUUUUGGAGAAUCUGGCAUGAGAGGGAUCACUUCUUCAUAAGGAUUUGUGAACCUCUUCCAGUUUUCAUUGACCAGGGGUACAUCAUCACCUCUGUGACUGUCAGCCCAUAGUUUGGAUUUACUUUCAGUAAUAGGCUAAGCUGUCUCUUCUGACAACCCACAGUGAGCAGGGUACACACCUGCUACAACCUGUCUUCUGAACUGUUGUAUGUCAACAGAGUCAAAUACAACAGUGAAAUAUAAGCCUACUCCUAAGAUCCAUGUGUUGGUUUUUUGUUUUUUUUUUUGCACCACCAUAAAGUUGUCCUAGGAAGAGAUCAGGUGCACCAAUAGGGUAAGCACCAUGCUGCCAGUUCAGCAUUUGCCCAGAUUUGUCUUGAGUUGAAGGCCAAAGUCGAUGCUUUUGACUUUUCUUUUCUUCUUUAACAAAAUAUAAUCUGGUUUCAGGUCACUGUGAACUUAUACAGUGCCCAUAGCCAUAGAUAAAGCCUGCUAAUAUUUGCCUAAAUAUUUCCUUGGCUC